rnacentral:rRNA from 1 species
GACGAACGCUGGCGGCGUGCCUAAUACAUGCAAGUCGAGCGCAGGAAGUCGACGGAACCCUUCGGGGGGAAGUCGACGGAAUGAGCGGCGGACGGGUGAGUAACACGUAAAGAACCUGCCCUCAGGUCUGGGAUAACCACGAGAAAUCGGGGCUAAUACCGGAUGGGUCAUCGGACCGCAUGGUCCGAGGAUGAAAGGCGCUCCGGCGUCGCCUGGGGAUGGCUUUGCGGUGCAUUAGCUAGUUUGUGGGGUAAUGGCCCACCAAGGCGACGAUGCAUAGCCGACAUGAGAGGGUGAUCGGCCACACUGGGACUGAGACACGGCCCAGACUCCUACGGGAGGCAGCAGUAGGGAAUCUUCCACAAUGGACGAAAGUCUGAUGGAGCAACGCCGCGUGAACGAUGAAGGCCUUCGGGUCGUAAAGUUCUGUUGUAAGGGAAGAACAAGUGCCGCAGGCAAUGGCGGCACCUUGACGGUACCUUGCGAGAAAGCCACGGCUAACUACGUGCCAGCAGCCGCGGUAAAAC